ACAACGGUGGAGCCUGCGGUUAAUUGGACUCAACGCCGGGCAGCUCACCGGAUAAGACAGCUGGAUGAUAGCCGGGCUGACGACUCUGCUUGACUAGCUGAGAGGAGGUGCAUGGCCGUCGCCAGUUCGUACUGUGAAGCAUCCUGUUAAGUCAGGCAACGAGCGAGACCCACGCCAACAGUUGCCAGCAUGUCCUCCGGGAUGAUGGGGACACUGUUGGGACCGCCUCUGCUAAAGAGGAGGAAGGAAUGGGCAACGGUAGGUCAGCAUGCCCCGAAUUAUCCGGGCUACACGCGGGCUACAAUGGUCAGGACAAUGGGUAUCGACACCGAGAGGUGGAGGCAAUCUCCUAAACCUGUCCUUAGUUCGGAUUGUGGGCUGCAACUCGCCCACAUGAAGCUGGAAUCCGUAGUAAUCGCGUUUCAAAAUAGCGCGGUGAAUAUGUCCCUGCUCCUU
rnacentral:rRNA from 1 species